rnacentral:pre_miRNA from 1 species
GUGUGUGUGGGGAUGGUUUUCAGUACCAGGGACAGGAAUGCUUAUCUCUGUAUGGAUGGUGUUCAGCACCAAGGACAGGUCUAUGUACAU